rnacentral:piRNA from 1 species
UCUGUUGCAAAGAGAAGGUUCCUCGAUGG